GUAGACUAUGCCUACACUACCCAUAAUUCCUUAUGAUGGCAUAAAAAAGGAAACAGGAAGGCUGCACUUCCUUUUAAACCCCCACCCCCGGAACCAUGCUGCAGCCAUGAGCCCAGAGACAAAAGGAAGAACAUCUGUGACCAAAGGGCUGUACCUGCUUGCAUGAUAUUGCUCAUGUAGUAUAUAGGUCCUGGAGUACCUCCAACACUGCACACUGUUCAUGUGUCUUUUAACUGCACAUCCAUCUGAGGUCUUGGAGUCCUUACUAAUGAGCUGCAAUUAAAAAUUGGACAUGGGCCACCUUCUGCAGAACCAGGAUGGCAACCAGGGAGACAAAUGUUCUGACCCUGGCAUUGCUCUCACACAGAGAUUGAGGUGAAACAUGAAAAUGUACAGACAGGCUUUGUGAGACACCCAGGAUAGUCAGCCUGUUUUUCGGGGUGAGCCUGCUUUUAAAAUUCCUUCAUUAUGCUAAGGUGGAGACAGAUCAUGGACCAUUGGGUGUCACUGGUGUACGUGUCUGGAAGCACAGUUGGACGGCUCUUAAUUGGAGUGAUUCGGGCUAGAAAGCAGUGGUGUUGGUGUCAGCUACACACAGGAACAUGUAGAUGUGCUGACAGAGUCAGGCAGGGGACAUCCUGCUUACUGAUCUCACUCCCCUCCUCUAUUUUUCUACCCCCCCACCCCCACCCCUCCUAGGAGUAUUAUCACUGUUACUGGACUCUCUAUCCAUAAGUCCCCAAAAAUCUGGUAUUCAAACAUAUUACUUUGCUUUCUGCAAAUUUGUCUGUAUGGUGUACAGUAUGUAUCUCACAAGUGGUUUGAGGUACCCAGGCUGUUAUUGAAAAUAAAAACAUGUUCUUAAUGACUUGCCAGGUUAAAUAAAAGAUGUAUUUGACCACU